rnacentral:rRNA from 1 species
UAAACGACUCUCGCAACGA